rnacentral:rRNA from 1 species
AGUGAACGCUGGCGGUAGGCCUAACACAUGCAAGUCGAACGGCAGCACAGUAAGAGCUUGCUCUUACGGGUGGCGAGUGGCGGACGGGUGAGGAAUACAUCGGAAUCUACUUUUUCGUGGGGGAUAACGUAGGGAAACUUACGCUAAUACCGCAUACGACCUACGGGUGAAAGCAGGGGAUCUUCGGACCUUGCGCGAUUGAAUGAGCCGAUGUCGGAUUAGCUAGUUGGCGGGGUAAAGGCCCACCAAGGCGACGAUCCGUAGCUGGUCUGAGAGGAUGAUCAGCCACACUGGAACUGCGACACGGUCCAGCCUCCUACGGGAGGCAGCAGUGGGGAAUAUUGGACAAUCGGCGCAAGCCUGAUCCAGUCAUACCGCGUGGGUGAAGAAGGCCUUCGGGUUGUAAAGCCCUUUUGUUGGGAAAGAAAAGCAGCAGGUUAAUACCCCGCUGUUCUGACGGUACCCAAAGAAUAAGCACCGGCUAACUUCGUG